GGGGAAUCUUCCGCAAUGGGCGCAAGCCUGACGGAGCAACGCCGCGUGGGUGAAGAAGGCCUUCGGGUUGUAAAGCCCUGUCUUAUGGGAAGAAGUCAGUGACGGUACCAUAGGAGGAAGCCACGGCUAACUACGUGCCAGCAGCCGCGGUAAUACGUAGGUGGCGAGCGUUGUCCGGAAUUACUGGGCGUAAAGGGCGCGCAGGCGGGUUUUUAAGUCAGAUGUGUAAUCUACAGGCUCAACCUGUAGUUUGGAUCUGAUACUGGAAAUCUUGAGUGCAGGAGAGGACAGUGGAAUUCCUAGUGUAGCGGUGAAAUGCGUAGAUAUUAGGAGGAACACCAGUGGCGAAGGCGGCUGUCUGGCCUGCAACUGACGCUGAGGCGCGAAAGCGUGGGUAGCGAAC
rnacentral:rRNA from 1 species